GAUGAACGCUAGCGGCAGGCCUAAUACAUGCAAGUCGAACGGGAUCUGAGGGUAGCUUGCUACCCGAUUUGAGAGUGGCGCACGGGUGCGUAACGCGUGAGCAACCUACCCAUAUCAGGGGGAUAGCCCGAAGAAAUUCGGAUUAACACCGCAUAAUAAUACGCUAACACAUGUUGAUGUAUUUAAAUAUUUAUAGGAUAUGGAUGGGCUCGCGUGACAUUAGCUAGUUGGUAAGGUAACGGCUUACCAAGGCGACGAUGUCUAGGGGCUCUGAGAGGAGAAUCCCCCACACUGGUACUGAGACACGGACCAGACUCCUACGGGAGGCAGCAGUAAGGAAUAUUGGUCAAUGGGCGCAAGCCUGAACCAGCCAGGCCGCGUGCAGGAUGACUGCCCUAUGGGUUGUAAACUGCUUUUGUUAGGGAAUAAACCUUCUUACGUGUAAGGAGCUGAAUGUACCUAUAGAAUAAGGAUCGGCUAACUCCGUGCCAGCCGCCGCAGUAAAAC
rnacentral:rRNA from 1 species